CUUUCAAUUAGCAAUGAUCAAGGGAACCAGAAAGCAGUGCCUAGCAUACCUUCCUCUGCUAAAUCCUGAUAAAGACAGAUAAAAUGGGGUUUUCUCCUGCCAGAGCAUCAGGACUCAGGUGCACAGAUAGGUUUUGAUUAGAGAAAGUAGAAGGACUUUGCAAUUUAUGUUACAAGAGAAAUGGAGCAGAGUCUGACUGGAGACUAACUAUGGAGAGCUGGGUCAGGGUUUUGAAUGUCUCCUUUCCACAAAAUAUAGUCACAAAUGAGUCCUAUAACAAUCUGAAUGAGGGCUAGGAAAUUAAAGUGGAAAAUUAACACCGUUGGGAUUGGAAAGCAAAGAAACUCUGAGGAUAGCUAGACAACUGUCAGAAGUAAUUCUUCAGUAAUUUUACCCAAACUAAGCUUCAGCUCUAUUUACUGCAAACUCAGCAGAACAUGAUCAAUCUGGAUAACCUCACAUACUUUUUACUAGAGAUGACACCAAUUUUGUGAAAAAGUAUAUUUCCAAAACCAACUGAACCAGCUUCAAAGAAAAAAAUUAAGUUAUUGCUACCAAGCUAACAAAAUCUGGAGUUGUAUGCGCUGUCCUGUUGGAAGUAGAAGAAUUUAUGGUGACAAAAAUGGAUCCUGACAUUCAGCUUUUUCCUUAGUGAAGAAAAAAAUGUGUCUCUGAUUUUUUUCAACCACAUUGUAUUUUGACUGAAUUCCUUGGCUUUAAGUGUACGUUAGUACAGAAAUAUUUCAUAUGUCAUUUAAAUGGCACGAAGACUUGGAAGCAACUUAACAGAUAACACACAGACCUCAAUGUCAAAGCCUCUCAAACCAUAUAAAAUAUGUUUCUUAUAGAAGAUGAGGAUCUAUUUCUUUUUUUGCUUCUUUACUUUGUUUACUUCUAAUACCAUUUUCAAUGAAAAUUAUAAGUACCAGAUAAUAAUGUAAUACAAUGGCUUAUGUGUUCUCUUUUACAGUUGUUUUAUUAACUCUGGAACUGGGUCCUUUGCUUCAAUAGAGGUAAAGUUAAAACCUGAAGAUGUUCUCUUGUAAGGGAAAAGGGUAGAGUGUCUGCCAUUUGGCACUAAUGAUAUUUGGGGCCAGAUAACUCUUUGUUGUGAAGUGCUACUGUUUAGCAGCAUUCUUGACCUCUACCGCUAGACGCCAGAAGUACUCUCCCAACUCCUAACCGUGACAAUUGAAAAUGUCUCCAGAUAUUGCCAAAUGUCCCAUGGGGGUAAAAUCUAUCCUAGUUGGAAAUGACUGGACUAGAGGAAUUAUCAUUUGAGAAGGCUGGGUGCAGUGGCUCUCCUCUAUAAUCCCAGCACUUUGGGAGGCUGAGGUGGUGGAUCAUGAGGUCAGGAGUUCAAGACCAGCCUGGUCAACAUGGUGAAACCCCGUCUCUACUAAAAAUACAAAAAUUAGCUGUGCGUGGUGGCAGGCACCUGUAAUCCCAGCUACUCCGGAGGCUGAGGCAGAUAAUUGCUUGAACCCAGGAGGUGGAGGUUGCAGGGGGCCGAGAUCCCGCCAUUGCACUCCAGCCUGGGCGACAGAACAAGACUCUGUCUCAAAAAGCAAACAAACAAACAAACAGAAACAUCAUUCUGGACAUAAGGUCUAACAGAAACAGAGGAGUUAAAGUAAGAAAUAAAAUCGCCAUACUGAUCUAGGAU
rnacentral:lncRNA from 1 species